CCCUACUGCUAUCGGGGUGGGACUAAGACAUGCUAGUCGAGCGCCUUGAGCUAUGGCGAGGCGCGGCGUACAGCUCAGUAACACGUGGCUAACCUACCCUUAGGACGGAGACAACCCCGGGAAACUGGGGCUAAUAUCUGAUAGGUGAGGAGGCCUGGAAUGGUUCUUCGCUGAAAAGGCGUUGAAACCAUGCUUUUCAGCGUCGCCUAAGGAUGGGGCCGCGUCCGAUCAGGUUGUUGGUGGGGUAACGGCUCACCAAGCCUAUAACCGGUACGGGCCGUGAGAGCGGGAGCCCGGAGAUGGGCACUGAGACAAGGGCCCAGGCCCUACGGGGCGCAGCAGUCGCGAAAACUCCGCAAUGCGCGAAAGCGUGACGGGGCUACCCCGAGUGCCGUCCGCUGAGGAUGGCUUUUCCCCGGUGUAAUGAGCCGGGGGAAUAAGGAGAGGGCAAGUCUGGUGUCAGCCGCCGCGGUAAUACCAGCUCUCCGAGUGGUAGGGACGAUUAUUGGGCUUAAAGCGUCCGUAGCCGGCUUAGCAAGUUUUCUGUUAAAUUCAGCGACCUAAUCGUUGAGCCGCGGGAGAUACUACUAGGCUAGGAGGCGGGAGAGGCCGACGGUAUUCUCGGGGUAGGGGUGAAAUCUUAUAAUCCCGGGAGGACCACCAGUGGCGAAGGCUGUCGGCUAGCACGCGCCUGACGGUGAGGGACGAAAGCUGGGGGAGCGAACCGGAUUAGAUACCCGGGUAGUCCCUGCUGUAAACGAUGCGGGCUAGGUGUUGGGGCGGCUACGAGCCGCUUCAGUGCCGCAGCGAAGGCGUUAAGCUCGCCGCCUGGGGAGUACGGCCGCAAGGCUGAAACUUAAAGGAAUUGGCGGGGGAGCACCACAAGGCGUGAAGCUUGCGGUUU
rnacentral:rRNA from 1 species